UACUUAGUGUUUAAUGCUCUGAUAAUUUGCUAUUAGAUUCUCUAUCUAUCACUGUCAAUCUAUCUACCACUGCUAAUUUAUACCACUGUCAAUUUAUCUAUUGCUGCUAAUCUAUUACUGUUGUUAAUCUAUCUACUACUGUCAAUCUAUCUAUUAUUGUCAAUCUAUCUACCACUGUUAAUGUAUCACUGCUAAUCUAUUACUGUUAAUCUAUUGCUGCUAAUCUAUCUAUUACUGUUAAUCUAUUACUGUCAAUCUAUCUACUGCUAUCAAUCUAUCUAUCACUGUUAAUUUAUCUAUUGCUGUCAAUCUAUCUACCACUGCUAAUCUAUUACUGCUAAUCUAUUGCUAUUAAUCUAUUGCUGUUAAUCUAUUACUGUUAAUCUAUCUAUCACUGCUAAUCUAUUACUAUCAAUCUAUCUAUUACUGUCAAUCUAUCUAUCACUGUCAAUCUAUCUAUCACUGCUAAUCUAUCACUGCUAAUCUAUUACUGCUAAUCUAUUACUAUCAAUCUAUCUACUACUGUCAAUCUAUCUACUGCUAUCAAUCUAUCUAUAACUGCUAAUCUAUUGCUGCUAAUCUAUCACUGCUAAUCUAUUACUGUCAAUCUAUCUACCACUGUUAAUCUAUCUAUCACUGCUAAUCUAUCACUGCUAAUCUAUCACUGUUAAUCUAUUGCUGCUAAUCUAUCUAUUACUGUUAAUCUAUUACUAUCAAUCUAUCUACUGCUGUUAAUCUAUCUAUCACUGCUAAUCUAUCACUGCUAAUCUAUCACUGCUAAUCUAUUACUAUCAAUCUAUCUACUACUGUCAAUCUAUCUACUGCUAUCAAUCUAUCUAUAACUGCUAAUCUAUUGCUGCUAAUCUAUCACUGCUAAUCUAUUACUGUCAAUCUAUCUACCACUGUUAAUCUAUCUAUCACUGCUAAUCUAUUGCUGCUAAUCUAUCACUGUUAAUCUAUUGCUGCUAAUCUAUCUAUUACUGUUAAUCUAUUACUGUUAAUCUAUCUACUGCUAUCAAUCUAUCUAUCACUGUCAAUUUAUCUAUUGCUGUC
rnacentral:sRNA from 2 species